rnacentral:rRNA from 1 species
AGUGAACGCUGGCGGUAGGUCUAACACAUGCAAGUCGAACGGCAGCACAGUAAGAGCUUGCUCUUACGGGUGGCGAGUGGCGGACGGGUGAGGAAUACAUCGGAAUCUACUUUUUCGUGGGGGAUAACGUAGGGAAACUUACGCUAAUACCGCAUACGACCUACGGGUGAAAGCAGGGGAUCUUCGGACCUUGCGCGAUUGAAUGAGCCGAUGUCGGAUUAGCUAGUUGGCGGGGUAAAGGCCCACCAAGGCGACGAUCCGUAGCUGGUCUGAGAGGAUGAUCAGCCACACUGGAACUGAGACACGGUCCAGACUCCUACGGGAGGCAGCAGUGGGGAAUAUUGGACAAUGGGCGCAAGCCUGAUCCAGCCAUACCGCGUGGGUGAAGAAGGCCUUCGGGUUGUAAAGCCCUUUUGUUGGGAAAGAAAAGCAGCAGGUUAAUACCCCGCUGUUCUGACGGUACCCAAAGAAUAAGCACCGGCUAACUCCGUG